rnacentral:rRNA from 1 species
CCUACGGGAGGCAGCAGUGAGGAAUAUUGGUCAAUGGCCGGAAGGCUGAACCAGCCAUGCCGCGUGAAGGGCAGGGACCUAUGGGCGUUAAACUUCUUUUGUGCGGGAGCAAUAAUGGUCACGUGUGGCCAGACGAGAGUACCGUACGAAUAAGCAUCGGCUAACUCCGUGCCAGCAGCCGCGGUAAUACGGGGGAUGCAAGCGUUAUCCGGAUUUAUUGGGGUUAAAGGGUGCGUAGGCUGUGAGGUAAGUCAGCGGUGAAAUGCCCCCGCUCAACGGGGUGAAGUGCCAUUGAUACUGCCUUGCUGGAAUGCGGAUGCCGUGGGAGGAAUGUGUGGUGUAGCGGUGAAAUGCAUAGAUAUCACACAGAACACCGAUUGCGAAGGCAUCUCACGAAUCCGCGAUUGACGCUGAUGCACGAAAGCGUGGGUAUCAAACAGGAUUAGAUACCCCAGUAGUC